rnacentral:sRNA from 1 species
UCUUCGAUAUAUGGGUUUGAUUCAUCAA